rnacentral:misc_RNA from 1 species
GUGGGAGGGGGCUUGCCCCCGAUAGCGGUUUGUCAGCCGGCUUAUAUGUUGAUUGGUACACCGCCAUCGGGGGCAAGCCCCCUCCCAC